CCCCUUCCCCUCCCUCCCAUCGGCGAAAAUUCUCCCCCCCUCCCCCUCACCCUCCCAAAGAGGGCUCACAUAAAGGACAUAAUGCCAAUGGAUCAAGUCAUACUUCACAUGGAAGGUCAAGCCAGAAACUGAAUUUGGGAAAGAAACUGGGAUUGCUAUUUGUGGGCAUUGCUGCGCUUUUGCAGGUGUUUGUGGUAGCAUUCUUGGUAAUCAAGAGGAGACAAUUGUUAAACGCUGAGAGCAUAUUAUAAAGACGUGUGAAAAAAAAAAAAAAGUUCAGAUUUUUUUUUUCUUUCUUUCUUUCUGUUUAGUCUCUUUCUUUGGUGGGAGUGUUUUACACUUAACUGGAGUUGUACUGAUUGAAAUUCUUUAACGAGCGGCUUGGUAAUGAGUAAGGAUAUGAAUUGAUUCAUUACGCCUUGAUCCUUCGGAGUUUUGGCUUCCACAUCUGUUGUUGUAGCUCAUGUAAAUUGGUGAUAAACAAAGUUGUAGAUGAGAGAUCUGAUCUGACUUGGGGGUUGUUUUGGAGAGGAACAGGAAGACGAUUGCCUUUUCGUUUGCUUGGUGAGACAUGAAGUCCUAGGUAUUUAAUGUUGUUGGAGAAGUGUUAUCACCAUUCACCAAUCUAUAUGUAAUACCCUACUAUAUAAUAUAUCGGAAUAUAUUUGCUUAGCUGAUUACAUUACAUAUUUACAUCUACAAGUGAACAUGUGUGAAUGAAAAACUGAUCCAAAACCCA